rnacentral:lncRNA from 1 species
CGUUCAUUCGUUUAAAAUGUCGUAAAUGUCGUAAAUGUCGAUACAGACAGUAAAGUAUAAAAGUUUCUUUCAAAAUCAUUUGAAAACGUUCGAACGAAAAUCGAAAGGGCAUUCUUGCUUGAAUGACGAACCAUGGACGGUCGUGAAAAAGAGAGGGGAAUCAUAAUAGGGCCUUCAGCAAAGAAUUGGGUCCACAGGUAGAGUCCUUACGUCAUUGCUACUACGGACCGACCACAAAGAAUGUGAGACAGUGUUGCCACGGCGAUGUAAAUCAUUAUUGUGCCAAGUUUAUUCGUCCUUCUACAACGUGUGGGAUAAGACUGAUUGUUUAUAUUGUAAUGAUUUUCUCAGAAACGAGGAUAAUAAAUGGGUAUAGUCGAACCAA